rnacentral:rRNA from 1 species
CCCUUAGAUGUUCUGGGCCGCACGCGUGCUACACUGAGUGGAUCAGCGGGUCAGGUUGCGCGAAAGCGUUUCCUAAUCUUUAAAUCCGCUCGUGAUGGGGAUUGACGGUUGCAAUUUUCUUUCAUGAACGAGGAAUACCUUGUAAGCGCGGGUCAUCAUCCCGCGCUGAAUACGUCCCUGCCCUUUGUACACACCGCCCGUCGCUCCUACCGAUUGAGUGGUCCGGUGAGGCUUUGGGAUCUGAGCGGAAAGAGCGUUUCGCUGUUUCUGCUCGGAAAACUCAGUCGAACCUUAUCAUUUAGAGGAAGGAGAAGUCGUAACA